CCGAGACUUAACACCCCGCCUUGUGAACGCGAGCAAGAUUACUCUCUCCGAGCAGCUCUUUUCACAUGUGAUAAGCUUGGCAAGUUGCCCUGAGCUAACUACGCAUGAUUUGCUGACCUGUAAGCAGUGUGAAAUCCAAGCAUCUACACUCCGAGAUAAGGAUUGAAUUCUCACCCACUGUCUUCACCCAGCCCAACAGAGAAGAAGGCUCGUGACUG